UCUGGAAUGACUUUUCUCCUAAAGGACUUAGAUACAUGCUUCUAUUUCGCCUGGGGAUGGGGCCGCGCCCGAUCAGGUUGUUGGUGAGGUAACGGCUCACCAAGCCUAUAACCGGUACGGGCCGUGAGAGCGGUAGCCCGGAGAUGGGUACUGAGACAAGGACCCAGGCCCUACGGGGCGCAGCAGUCGCGAAAACUCCGCAAUGCACGAAAGUGUGACGGGGCUACCCCGAGUGCCAUCCGCUGAGGAUGGCUUUUCUUUGGUAUAACUAGUCAUGGGAAUAAGGAGAGGGCAAGACUGGUGUCAGCCGCCGCGGUAAUACCAGCUCUCCGAGUGGUAGGGAUGAUUAUUGGGCUUAAAGCGUCCGUAGCCGGCUUAGCAAGUUUCCUGUUAAACCCAGCGACUCAAUCGUUGGAUCGCGGGAAAUACUACUAGGCUAGGAGGCGGGAGAGGUCAACGGUACUUCUGGGGUAGGGGUGAAAUCCUAUAAUCCCGGGAGGACCACCAGUGGCGAAGGCUGUUGACUAGAACGCGCUCGACGGUGAGGGACGAAAGCUGGGGGAGCGAACCGGAUUAGAUA
rnacentral:rRNA from 1 species